rnacentral:rRNA from 1 species
AUUGAACGCUGGCGGCAUGCUUUACACAUGCAAGUCGAACGGUAACAGGCCGCAAGGUGCUGACGAGUGGCGCACGGGUGAGUAAUGCAUCGGAACGUGCCCAGCCGUGGGGGAUAACUACUCGAAAGAGUAGCUAAUACCGCAUACGAUCUAUGGAUGAAAGCGGGGGACCGUAAGGCCUCGCGCGAUUGGAGCGGCCGAUGUCAGAUUAGGUAGUUGGUGGGGUAAAGGCUCACCAAGCCAACGAUCUGUAGCUGGUCUGAGAGGACGACCAGCCACACUGGGAUUGAGACACGGCCCAGACUCCUACGGGAGGCAGCAGUGGGGAAUUUUGGACAAUGGGCGCAAGCCUGAUCCAGCAAUGCCGCGUGCAGGAAGAAGGCCUUCGGGUUGUAAACUGCUUUUGUACGGAACGAAACGGCUCUGGUUAAUACCCGGGGCUAAUGACGGUACCGUAAGAAUAAGCACCGGCUAACUACGUG